AGAUAGUGCAGUCCAGGGGGGAAAACAAAGCAGCAAUGAGAUGAAGGCCAAGUUUGUCUGCUCGGUUUUGGCCGGCCUGAGUUUUCCUCUGAAAGUACCCUGCUACUGCAGAGGAAGUCCAGUGCAACUGGAUGCUUAAUUGUAGCUAAAAAGGGAGUGAACCUCAACCCAAAUGAGGCUCUGAGGGGUCACAGGGGAAAACAUUAGUCCUAUUAAAUAACACAUGCAUCUCUACUGAUUAACACCUGGAUGGAGGUAAAGAACACCCUGUUGCAGUGCCAGGGGAUCACACUACUUUGUGCUCAAGAAGGACGUGCAUGCCCUGUGACGGAAAAAUUGCUGACCAUGAUGAUCAUAGUUCACCUUUUCCUGGCUUUAAUAGUUUCCAGCCUGCUUACAGUUGUGAUGUGUUGGUUGGAAUGAAUUAUCCAGGAGGCGAAGCCUAUGCCAUUCCUCUGGCCAAGACCUUGUUUGAUAUGUGGGAGUAGAAAAGGUAUCUCAAGCUGUUCAGCACCAAGUAAUUUUAGCCCCCAAUUUACUAAAUAUUUACAGUCUAACAAAGCAAGAGCUGAUAAUAGCGGCUCCUCUGUGCCAGUCAGAGUAAUGGCUCUCUCUGUUUUAGUCUCAUGAUGUUCUUUGUCAAGCAUUAGGAGACGUUUUGAUUAGAAACGAGUAAAAGGACACCCAAAAGUAUGCAAGUAUCGUAGAAAUAUCGUAGUUCAAUGCCAUUGUGGUCUAUUCUGUGUGCAGAAGUUCUUUCCCUAUGGCAAUUUAUCCUGAGUCUGACAGGGUAGUCUGACUUCUCUAGGUAAAUUGUGCUGAAGAAAGAUAAUUUCUGAAGUUGGUAGUGUUUCAGUGGAAAUGACCAAAGUGUGUGUAUGUACUGACCCAGAACUUCACUUGAGGGUUGGUGAGAACAUGGAUGACCUAAAACACUUUCUAAAUAGGCAAGGGUGAUGGAUAUUUGUUAAGUCUCAUAAAGUGUUGUUUUUUUUCUAAACUGAUAAGCAACCACAAAUGUGGAGCAAUCUUCUGAUGAGCCAAUUACUAGAGUAAAUGAUCAAUGGUAAACUCUAAGCAACGUUCAUCUGGCUUUUAUCUCCAUAUGCACGUGGUUUUUUAAAAAAUUAACAUUUAACAGGAGGGGUUGUUGGUACCCGAAGUUUAUCAGAAGGUUUCUAUAUCCUAUUAAAGCCGUCCCUAGAAAAAAACUGAUAUCAUCCUUUUCAGAGCUUUGGCAAAUCUGAUCUCACCAGUGCAUGGUAGAAGCAGCGCUGAGCAGGCAGUUCCUUGCCUCUUAGCAGUGGCCCGCUGCACUUCUCUGCCUUUGUGCCAGGCUGGGAAAGGAUAAUUACUCUCAGAUAAGCAAUGGAUGAUACUGUUGAACUCCAGCUGUUAGUAAUGCAGCCAUCCGUCCACAGGCUCCGUCUUGGUCUGGAGGCUCCUUCAGCAAGCGGUGCAUUUUCUUUGCACGUUGAUUUGCUGGGUUUUAUCUCCCUUUGCUUUCUGCUGAGGAAGUUUCAGCACUCAGCUAAGGAAGGAGUGGGAAAAAUCUGCUUGGCAACUUUCUGAAACAUCUCUUUAGCUUCUUGUGGGAGCCAAAAUUCUGUUUCAACUAGACCCGAACCUCUUUAUGUUUUAGAGGUUUCUCUGUUCUUUUUCUUUUUCAACUUAAAAACUGUAAAGAAUACAUUCCAUGGAAAAUCGUCUUUCAGUACGACAUAUGUAUCAGCUGUAGUUACUCUUAUUUACGAAACUGGAGGAAGAGAGACCACCUCCCAGAUGAUUCAGAUUUUGGGUUGACUGAUGCAUAGCCUGAAAGCUCCUAUUCCCCCUCUGUUGAUUAGAUAGGAACAUAAGAAAAUUAUUCUUCCGUCUUAGGCACCUCAAUUAAGUGCUUAGAGUUAGGCGGGGUUAAUCUAGAUUUACCCUUAAAAUAAAAAUCAGAGGACGGAGAAUUUUGUUUCUGACAAGUUGCUUAAGCCCUGGCAGAUAACAAUUCUGUGACAGUCUUAAUUGCUAUACUCUAAUGGCAUCUCCGAAAUAAUCACUUGUACCAUCCAAUUAGACUGUUGUGCUGUAAAUAAGUCUCACUGUUGCACAGCCUAGGAAUCUGGAAAUUACAUGAAUAUUAACAAUGAAUAAACAUAAUUGUAAAUACGGAAUUAAAAUGAGAUGUGUGGCAUGUUUAAGCACUCAAGGGAUUGUUUUCAUCACUAAGGAAAAAAAAAUCACGGAUUAGAUAGAAUCAAAACCUUUCCCAGUUACACGCAUUCCCCUUAGGGCCAAAUGAAUUAAAACUCUGUUUCUGGAGGAACUCAACCUAAGACUAAAAGCGUGUUCAAAAUAGUGGUAUUGUGUCAGCCUGGUGUUUGACUUCUGAUAGCACAUCUCCAAAGAGUUCUCUUUGACGUAUCCCGAACAGAGGAUGCUUGUUUCCCACCAAGCCUGUUGUUCCUGAUAAAGCUCUCCUAUACCGGAGCGGUACCUAACACUGCACCGCCGUACUCUGGCCUUAAAAGCAGCUUGGUUGCUCCUUUGUAAAUCUGCUGUGCCUCAAGAUUUAUUUUAAAUACUCUGUCCAAAGCCCAGAUCGCAAUAUCUAAGUCUGUCCAACAUGUGUUUUUAAGCAGAGCGUAACAGAAAACAGGAUAGCACGUUAAAACAAAAUAGAGGCCAUAAAAGCUGUUUCAGAGACUGUGUUAAUGCCCUUGUGAUAAUAACGUGGUGUUACUCUCCUUUGAUAUUUGAGGCCUCUAUCUGAGUGACAGAAAGCAGAUAUCUUAGGAAUCUCCGAGCUUGGACAUUUUGUACGGGUAAAUGAGCAGUGAAGCAGGAGCACCACGUAAGCUGUUUUCCUCUCAAGGACUGCGCGUUAGCUGCAAGCACAGUCAGGGGGAGGCACCCUGAAGAUUCUUCAGAGGCUUUUUGCCCAGCUUUUGUCUGCUUCUAACAGCCAAAACCACGUGAAGAUUGGAUGUCCUGCUGGCCUUUCUUCCCCCUCUGCCUGCCUCCUCUGCAGACACAAGCACGCAUCCCUUCUGCUCGUGCUCCCCUAUGACUGCUGCAGUUACGUGCCGUUGGCUAGCAUAACCAGUCAUCAGACUUUGGUCAUCCAGAGGCAGUUUCACCUUCCGGAAAGCUGGGCUGACUCAUGGCUGGAUUUUUCAAAGCCUCUGCGGUGUUAGGAGAAACUGCAAGUUGCAGACAGGCGGCGAAGGACCAGCAGAAAAGGUCCUGAGGAUCUUUCUGAAGAACUAUGUAGCUGUAUUAAAAAGGGAGGUGGGUAUUUUUUACCCUUCUUUGCAAGUGCAUCUUGACUGUAUCAGAUGCCUCUGAGAUCUGCUGGUAGAAGAAGCCAGUACUGUACCACCCACCACCCCAAUUCCACUCCUUUUUCUUUCCUCUAUGGUUUAUGUGCCACCAAAGGCAGCAUUUCACAGUGAUGCACCUAGCAGAGAUGUGCCUUCCCCUGCAAAUCCAGUAAGCAUAUAGGCAGCCAUCACUUUUUCCCGUGUCAGGUGUAUUCUAAGAUGCUUUCUCUGCAUGUUUAAAAGGCAGUUCAGACUCCAAUAUAUUCCGUCUUAAAUUUUUUUGAAGCUGCUUAGAGAAAUGUUGAAUGCUUCUUAUCAUCUGUGAUGCAAAGGUCACCAAGCUGUUUGAGUCUGUCCAGUUGGUGUCGGAUCUUGCAUGACCAGACAAGAAACUUGCAUAUGGGGAACUUGAGUGGUAAAAGACAACCCCAAACUUCUGCCUUUCAGGUAGUUAAAGGUGAGAUAGCUUUUGAGGCUUCUGUUUUGCACUUAGAGCUUUCACAAAAAACAUUUUGUGGCUAUGAGGUUCAUUCAUUAGGAAUGAACUUGGGACUGUCUCUGGUUUAGGUUCAUACAUAAAGUACAGUAUUACUCCAAAUAUAAUCUGGAGUAAUCACAGGAUGCUACAGCCAAGCUUUUCCUUAGCCAGUCUACAUCAGAUGUGCAAAACAGGACCAAGCAGAUCCUACAGAAACUCUCAAUUGUUCAAAUUUAAUGCAAAGUUACCCUCCUUACUCUGCCUCAUGUUGUGGCUGUAGGAACACGAGAUCCAGCUGGAGCAGCAGGCUGGCUGACAGCAAGAGCUAGGGUGAAUGCAUUAGAGCUAGCAGCAGCCAUAGCCUGAAGGCUUAAUCGAAGGUUGUGCUGUCAAGCUCACAAUGUGGUCAUGAAAAAUUCUGCAUCCUAUUGUUAAAAUGUACCGUCCUUCCCCUGGUAAAGCAAAAAGUAAAAUACGUACAACUGGAUGAUGUCAGGGCUUGCUCAGUUUAAUUAAAGGUCAUGUUGAGAGCGAUGCAGGACUGAAGAAAGAUUAUGAGAAGCUUUUGGCUAUUGCAUUUGAUUUUGCUUUAGAAUUAGGAUUUCAUAUUUUGUGUCUUUUUUUUUCUUUUUCUGGGCCUAAGACUUCUCACAUUUAAAAUCAUUUCAUCAAAGGGCUUUGUUAGAAUCAUGGCUAAAAUAAAAUGCAUUCAAAUAAAAAUAGUAAAUAACUACUGUGCAUCUCAGUCUGGUUUUGUAGUUAAUAACUCCAACAUAGCCGUAACUCUCUAUAUUCUCAUGCUUCAGGUCUGCAUGGAAGGGUUUUGCUUUUCUUGUUUGACGUUAGAAUUGCCUAUUCCUUUAUUUCAGUAAAGUGUUUGUUCGUAGCUAAACAAGGUGAGGAAAAAUGAACAGGCAAAGAAAACAGACCAGAAAAGAAAGUGGCCUGAACAACAGAAUGCUUUUAUUUUCCUCUCAAAACACUAAUUAAUGUUUUAAAAAAAAAAAAAAGAAAGAAAA